GAGAAACAGGUACCCCAAGAUCCACCAACAAACGAGAAAGCCAAGUCAAUUCAGCAACAACUUUGCUGAGGGCUCGAUAUUCUGCCUCAGCAGAAGACAGAAACAACAGGUUGUUUCUUCGAUUUCCAACUAAUCAGGCAACCACCCAAAAGCACACAAUCGUCUAGUAUCAGGGCAUGCAACCCAGUCACUAUCAGAAUAGCCAGUAACAGAGAAAUCAGCAUGGGCAGAAUAAAAUAAACCCAUAGAAGGAGUGCCUUUAAGGUAUCUCAAAACAUGCAAGGCAGCAGUCAUAUGGGGAAGUCUGGGGCACUUGAGGAAUUGACUCAGAUGUUGAACUGCAAAGCAUAUGUCGGGCCUAGUAUGAGUCAGAAACAACACCUUACCAACUAGACUCCUGUACUGGUCAGGAGAGGAUAAAAGGUCACCAGAAGCAUAUGUCAGGCCUAGUAUGAGUCAGAAAUAACAUCUUACCAACUAGACUCCUGUACUGGUCAGGAGAGGAUAAGAGGUCACCAGAAUCAGCAUGAAGUUUUAUAUUAAUGUCCAAAGGAGAAACAACAGAGGAGACAUUUGCACAGUCAAACUGAUGCAGUAAAUCAGAAAUAUACUUAUGCUGAUUAAGGAUCAUUCCACCAGGAACAACUGACAUUUNNNNNNNNNNNNNNNNNNNNNNNNNNNNNNNNNNNNNNNNNNNNNNNNNNNNNNNNNNNNNNNNNNNNNAACAACUGACAUUUCAAGGCCCAAAAAAUAAUGCAAAGAUCCUAAAUCUUUGAUUUUAAACUGAUCAUCCAGAAAUAGUUUCAGGGCAGUAAUUUCAUCACUGUCAUCCCCAGUAAGGAUAAUGUCAUCAACAUAAACUGCCACAACCACAAGGGAGCCAGGUUUACUCUUUGAUGAACAAAGAAUAGUCAUUCCAAGAAUGUUGUACCCUCUGGAAUAAAGAGCAGAAGACAACUUGGAAAACCAUUGUCUGGAUGCUUGUCUUAGCCCAUAUAGGGAUUUCUUGAGUUUACAAACCAGAGGAGAAGUAGUAGAAGAAGGAGGAGAAACAGAACCAGAAAUAGGAGCAGAAAACUGUCAAAACUGGAGGAAGUUUCAUGUAAACUUCCUCAUCCAAAUCUCCAUGGAGAAAAGCAUUAUUGACAUCAAGCUGAAAUAGAGGCCAGUGAUUCUUGACAGCCACAGCAAUAAGGCCGAGAAACAGAACCAGAAAUAGGAACAGAAACUGGAGUAGAAACUGUCAAACUUGGAGGAAGUUUCAUGUAAACUUCCUCAUCCAAAUCUCCAUGGAGAAAGGCAUUAUUGACAUCAAGCUGAAAUAGAGGCCAGUGAUUCUUGACAGCCACAACAAUAAGGCAUUUCACAUUGGUCAUCUUAAUCACAGGAGAAAAGGUGUCAAUAAAAUCAAUCCCUUCAACCUGUGUAUCACCCCUAAUAACAAGCCUUGCUUUUACCUUUCAACAAGACCAUCAGACUUGUAUUUGAUUUUAUAGACCCAUUUACAGCCAAUGGGUUUCUUACCAGGAGGAAGAGGAAUAAUAUCCCAAGUAUGGUUGGCUUCCAAAGCAUCAAACUCCUGCCUCAUUACAUCCUACCAUGCUGGGACAGAUGCAGCUUGAGAGUAAUACAGAGUUUCAGAUUCCAAAGUGGAAGAAGAGGAACCAAAAAAGGCAGGGAGUUGACAGACAUAUUCCUUAAGGUAGGAAGGAGGAUUAUGCUGUCUAGUGGACUUUCUAGGAGUAGGAAGAGGAUGUGAAGGAGGUAACACGGGAGGAGGGAUAUCAUGAUUGAAAGAAGGAAGGGAAGAUGAACCAGCAUCAGGAAAAUCAGGAACAGGAGAAUCAGGGGAAGCAUGUAUAGGAAAAACUGUGUCAGGGAAAUGAUCAUCAGGAGGAAUAGAAGGAAAAGAUGGAGGAGAAGGGUGAGCAGAAGUAGGUUUAUUCUUAAAAGGGAAACAAGUUUCAUGGAAGGCAACAUCCCUGGAGACAAAACACUUCUUGGAAACAAAAUUAUACAGUUUAUAACCCUUCUUGGCAAAGGG
rnacentral:lncRNA from 1 species